AUGGACGCGGCAAAGGGAAUCCUAGAAUGCUUUGGCGAGGGCACGGGACUUCGCUGCAACUUCGCCAAGAGCUCCAUCUCCUUGAUCCGCUGCAGUGUGGACGACGUGCAGGACAUUGUUCAGGCGGCGGGCUGCGCCGUCAAGGAGUUGCCAAUCACCUAUCUUGGCCUUCCCCUAUCACUGUGUGCCCUGACCCGCACAGAGUUCCAACCACUUGUGGACAGGAUUGCUGCCCAGCUGCCUACAUGGAAGGUCGGCCUCCUCCGUCGGGCGGGCAGACUCACGCUGGUG
rnacentral:rRNA from 1 species